AACGGCCCACCAAGGCGACGAUCGGUAGCCAGCCUGAGAGGGUUAUCGGCCACAUUGGGACUGAGAUACGGCCCAGACUCCUACGGGAGGCAGCAGUAGGGAAUAUUGCACAAUGGGGGAAACCCACAUGCAGCAACGCCACGUGUGGGAAGAAGCAUUUCGGUGUGUAAACCACUGUCGUGAGGGAAUAAUACGCGUCUUCGGGCGCGCGGGAAUGUACCUCGAAAGGAAGCACCGGCUAACUUCGUGCCAGCAGCCGCGGUAAUACGAGGGGUGCAGCGUUGUUCGGAAUCACUGGGCGUAAAGGGAGCGUAGGCGGAUGUUCAAGCGGAUUGUACAAUACCGGGGCCCAACCCCGACCUGCAGUCCCAACUGGACAUCUUGGAUAGUUCAGGGGCAGGCGGAAUUCCUGGUGUAGCGGUGGAAUGCGUAGAGAUCAGGAAGAACACCGAUGGCGAAGGCAGCCUGCUGGGGACUAAUCGACGCUGAGGCUCGAAAGCGCGGGUAGCA
rnacentral:rRNA from 1 species